rnacentral:lncRNA from 1 species
UACUUCACAUAGGAACACAAAUUUAUUCACACAGGGAACAAAUGUCGUUACAUUUUCUACUUUUGCCGGGAAAUAGAUGAACUACGAAGAAGCCUAUCUCUCUCACUUGAGUAAAUGGUUCAUACAAAAUGUUCUAGUGUGAUCUAUCUAAACAACAACAGCAGGAACAAAUUUCACAAUGCGUCCAUGUACACUUUUGAAGAUGAGUUGCACUAGCAUUAAUCAAGUUGGCCUGUUGAAAAUCAAACACAAUGGACCGCAGCCAUGUUAAUUACUGCUGAAAAUUGUCGGCCAUACAAAUUACUACAGAAACUGGUCAAAAACAGUUGACCGUGUGCAGCCAUACUAACUUAUAUUUUGUGGAAUAAACACAGGCAGCUUAGAGGCAUACUUUUUGUUCUUACUGAUGACCUAUAGAGCAUGUAGGGAAAGAUCUAGGGGAAGGACUAAUCAAUAUUGAGCUUGAGCGACCAUCUCAACAAUAAAUCCAAAAGAGGCAGCAGCAUAUAUCAUGCUACACUGCACCUCAAGGGAGAUCGAAUCCCCAUGUUGAAUAGUAUCCCAGCAACAGCAAGAUCACCCACCCGUUCAAAGACCGACUAUCUUUCCUCGUGAAUGGCGACAAGCACCAGGAUCAACACCUACAGGAAAGAGUAGAUAUUCAGAAGCAUAACAACAACUUCAGCUUCAUAGCUCAACCCAUGGACCGCAAUUUGAAAUCAAAACAACUGUGUUUAUGGCUUCAAAGAUAUCUUCAAGCAAGACCCUUGAAAUGGAAGUGAACCAAGUAGUAGUAACGCUCCAACACCCCACCAACGCCAAACAAUUCCUAACCUAUUUAGUACUGGCCCAAAACCUAUUUUGUAAUUUUUUUCUCUAUUCAUUAUUUAUCAGUAAGAUGAAUUCUUCCCAAAAUCCAAUGAUUGAACUCUCUAGACUAUAAUCUUUUAACUUCCAGAUUACUUUAAAAAAUACGUACUUCUUUAGAUGAAUGUAAACGGAGAAGUUCGCACUUACUGUUUGCUGGUAUUGCAUAAAAUUCUGUUUUUUUAGUGGACACUUACAAGACGUGGAGCAUCAGACAAAAAAUGCCAAUGGUUAGUGGCAGCUUGAAAUAAAACAAGAAACAAACAUGGGGAUGAAGAUUUUAUUGUUGGUGCUUCAUACGAAUGAAACCACCUGCUCCUUGAAUUACUUCAUCAACACGAGAACACAUUGGACUUGGCUGCGCCCUUCCUCAUCCUGUUUUUUCUAGAUUUUGGUGAAGUUCAAUUUUGGCCUCCCUAUUGUAGUACCAUAGCAGGUCAAGCAUUCAACAACCAUCUUGCUGAAAUAACAUGGGUGAAAAAUGACAAAAGGGUACAAAAUCAAAUGUACGAGGUGGAGACGAUGAACGUUGCUGCAGUAAUUUCCACAAGCUGUGGCUGUUGUACCUCCAGGGGCUGCGUACUUGAACGGGCUGCGUACUUGAACGGCCAGAGGUGGCUCCAAUGAACGCCCUUCGUGCUGCGGUUGUGGAGCCCCACCGGGAGGAGGCUGCGCGGCGGCGGUGGAGCCUCGCCUGGGCCAACCUAACUAGUCAGGGGUUCCGUCCGGACUGCUAGCAGGAGAGGGGCAUGGCGGGAGGAGAC